AAAUCCCAAAAAUAAAAUUUUGCAGGGACGUCACCAACGACGUUUAUGACAACUAAUCCUACUAGCACUAAGCUAAGGCGAUAGUUUUCAGCCUAAAGGUUGAAGCUUUACACCAAAAACUCCAAAAAUGGGUAUUUUAGGUUCAAAUUGAUUCCGGCGGAAUUCCGGCGACAUAACGGAAAAUCUAACCCGGCAGAAGUGAUCUUGGG
rnacentral:lncRNA from 1 species